ACGUGUAGGCGUACGUGUUGUGCAGGGCCGUGCCGUUAUGAAUUCAAACCUUCAAGCUUUAGAUGCACCCAAGAAGAACCAUCUUGAUCGUUACUGGUGCGGAAGUGAUGACCUUGGAGCGUUUUAAGUCGAAAUUGGUAUUUAGGUCAAUAGGUCUCAUAGCACAGGCUCAUGGUGACAUCUGGUGGUCAAUAGAGGAAGCGUUUGAUGUGUGUUUACUCGAGGGAAAGUUGCAAAGAACCGUUACACGAUCUUCAAUUCAAACGUCUCCUCUGCCAAAUACGUGGACAGACCUGCCCAUGAUGGGUGAAGGGGUGUAACGGAUCUUCACGAACUUUCGCGAAAUCUGGACUGGUUGGCCAUCCGGUGAAACGCAGGUUGAUAUAACUUAACCUUUUAUUACAAUGUGACUAUAUCAAACAAAGCUAUGACAUCCCAUCGAAGUCCGGUCCCAAGCUGCUCGGCAUUGCUUACUAGCUGCUUCAACAGACCGUCCUGAAACCCAUCCAAAUGGAACAUAUAUUACACAUAGGUGCGUGCGAAGAGGACCAUUGACGAUUAAUUGAUAAGAUUUGCAAGACUUGCUGUGCUAAAUUCAUGUUAAUAAUUUUACUCGUGCAACGUACACUUCCGAUUUAAACAUUCGAGAAAGGCAUCAUUUUUAAUUAUGUUAAUUUUUGGAGGAUAUCUUUUAAUUUAAUAUCUGCAGUAUAAUUUUAUUUUUUUUUUUAAAUUGAAAGUUCCCAUUUUUUUGCAAAUUAAUGAGAUACGUUUUUUGUAAAAAAUAUUAUGCUAAAAGUGAAAAAAAAUGAUGUACAUAUGAAGAUGAAGCUUAAUUGCAACGUUAACCUUUUAUGAUAUGGAUGGAAUUAUAAUUAGAAACCAAUAUGGAGAAGUAUAAAAGUUUCAGUCUUUUUUUGCAGGUUCGUUUGGCACGUUUUUAUGCAAGAGAUUAAAUUAGAAAUACGGAAAAAAAAAAAAAAA